rnacentral:sRNA from 1 species
GUGAGAAUUAGAUAUCGAUUGAUAUCAACUCGAGUUAUUUAAUUUCAAUAAUAAAUAACGAGAGUUGAUAUCAAGCGAUAUCUAAUUCUCA